rnacentral:rRNA from 1 species
CCCACGUCUGUUGCAAAAGACGGGGAUGAGCUGUGAUUAGGAGUGAAAAGCUAAUCGAACCCGGAGAUAGCUGGUUCUCCUCGAAAGCUAUUUAGGUAGCGCCUCGGACGAAUACUACUGGGGGUAGAGCACUGUUAUGGCUAGGGGGUCAUCGCGACUUACCAAACCAUUGCAAACUCCGAAUACCAGUACGUACUAUCCGGGAGACACACGGCGGGUGCUAACGUCCGUCGUGAAAAGGGAAACAACCCAGACCCACAGCUAAGGUCCCAAAUUCACUGCUAAGUGGAAAACGAUGUGGAAAGGCACAGACAGCCAGGAGGUUGGCUUAGAAGCAGCCACCCUUUAAAGAAAGCGUAAUAGCUCACUGGUCGAGUCGGUCUGCGCGGAAGAUUUAACGGGGCUAAGCAGUGAACCGAAGCUUGGGGUGCAUAAAACUUGUUUUAUGCGCGGUAGAGGAGCGUUCCGUAAGCCUGCGAAGGUGGAUUGAGAAGUCCGCUGGAGGUAUCGGAAGUGCGAAUGCUGACAUGAGUAACGAUAAUGCGGGUGAAAAGCCCGCACGCCGAAAGCCCAAGGUUUCCUUGCGCAACGUUAAUCGACGCAGGGUUAGUCGGUCCCUAAGGCGAGGGCGAAAGCCGUAGUCGAUGGGAAGCAGGUUAAUAUUCCUGCACCUCGCGUGAGUGCGAUGGAGGGACGGAGAAGGUUAGGUGUACCGGGCGUUGGUUGUCCCGGGGAAAGGCGGUAGGUUUGGAUCUUUGGCAAAUCCGGGAUCCUUUAAGACCGAGCACCGAGACGAGCCUUUAUGGCGAAGUCACUGAUACCACGCUUCCAGGAAAAGCUCCUAAGCUUCAGCUCACGAAGACCGUACCGUAAACCGACACAGGUGGGUAGGAUGAGAAUUCUCAGGCGCUUGAGAGAACUCGGGUGAAGGAACUAGGCAACAUGGCACCGUAACUUCGGGAGAAGGUGCACCCUUUUUGGUGGCUCAUGCGAGCUAUAGCUGAAGAGGGUCGCAGAAACCAGGCCGCUGCGACUGUUUAUCAAAAACACAGCACUCUGCAAACACGAAAGUGGACGUAUAGGGUGUGACGCCUGCCCGGUGCUGGAAGGUUAAUUGAUGGGGUCAGCCGCAAGGCGAAGCU